rnacentral:rRNA from 1 species
UACGAAGGGGGCUAGCGUUGUUCGGAAUCACUGGGCGUAAAGCGCACGUAGGCGGACUGUUAAGUCAGGGGUGAAAUCCCGGGGCUCAACCUCGGAACUGCCUCUGAUACUGUCGGUCUGGAGUCCGGAAGAGGUGGGUGGAAUUCCUAGUGUAGAGGUGAAAUUCGUAGAUAUUAGGAAGAACACCGGUGGCGAAGGCGGCCCACUGGUCCGGUACUGACGCUGAGGUGCGAAAGCGUGGGGAGCAAACAGG